AUUGAACGCUGGCGGCAGGCCUAACACAUGCAAGUCGAGCGGAUGAAGGGAGCUUGCUCCUGGAUUCAGCGGCGGACGGGUGAGUAAUGCCUAGGAAUCUGCCUGGUAGUGGGGGAUGACGUCCGGAAACGGGCGCUAAUACCGCAUCCGUCCUGAGGGAGAAAGUGGGGGAUCUUCGGACCUCAAGCUAUCAGAUGAGCCUAGGUAGGAUUAGCUAGUUGGUUGGGUAAAGGCCUACCAAGGCGACGAUCCGUAACUGGUCUGAGAGGAUGAUCAGUCACACUGGAACUGAGACACGGUCCAGACUCCUACGGGAGGCAGCAGUGGGGAAUAUUGGACAAUGGGCGAAAGCCUGAUCCAGCCAUGCCGCGUGUGUGAAGAAGGUCUUCGGAUUGUAAAGCACUUUAAGUUGGGAGGAAGGGCAGUAAGUUAAUACCUUGCUGUUUUGACGUUACCAACAGAAUAAGCACCGGCUAACUUCGUG
rnacentral:rRNA from 1 species